AUGGCUGCUCAACCAGUAGUUGCUCCAUUUAUGAUGAAUGAUCCAGAGAGUAAUACUUCCGAGAGUUCAACAACACGAGAAGAAGAUGUCUUACCCAAAGAUUUUGUAGCCACACUUCCAGCUAGAGAGGGGUGGUCUGAACCACUCGUUCAAUACCACAACUACUGGUUCAGACCUUGGCACCUCGAGCGGAUCCUGCUCGUCAAGCAGGCCUUCGUGCCCCGCGCCGACGACAUCAUCCUCGCCACGCAGCCCAAAUGCGGCACCACAUGGCUCAAAGCCCUUGCCUUCACCAUCACCAACCGAUCGCGCUACGGGUUCAGUGACCACCCGCUUCUCACACACCACCCUCAGCAUCUCGUGCCGUUCAUUCAGAUUCGUGGUGCCGGUACGAGCCACACCGACAUCGAGUCCCUUGAGUCUCCAAGGCUUUUCGCCACACACACGCCCAUGUCGUUGCUCCCGCCAGACAUGAGAUCGCUGGGCUGCCGGGUCGUGUACCUGUGCCGGGACCCCAAGGACACCCUCGUGUCAAGGCUGCACUUUGAGAACAAGGCGUUUCCGGGCACCAACCUAUCAAUGGAUGGUGCUUUCAGCAUGUUCUGCGAGGGAUUCUCGCCGUAUGGCCCCUUCUGGGAUCACUGCCUCGAGUACUGGAGGGAGAGCGUGGCACGGCCGGACAGCGUCCUCUUCUUGAAGUACGAAGAGAUCAAGUCCGAUCCGGCACAGGUUGUGAAGAAGCUGGCGAAAUUCCUCGGUGUCCCGCUGACAGAAGAGGAGGUGAGCUUCGGCGUUGCUCGGGAGGUGGUGCGGCUGUGCAGCUUUGAAACGCUCACCAGCUUGCAGGUGAACCAGGUCGGUAGCGUUCGUCAUGGUGAUAGCGGUUCCAUUGGUAGUUCGGCGUUUUACAGAAAAGGAGAAGUGGGGGACUGGGCAAACCACAUGAGCCAGGAGAUGGGGGACAAGUUGGACCGCAUUGUCCAACUCAAGCUUGAGGGAUCUGGGCUUAAGUUUUGA
rnacentral:rRNA from 1 species